GACGAACGCUGGCGGCGUGCCUAAUACAUGCAAGUCGAACGCAGUGGGGACGGGUGAGUAACACGUGGGUAACCUCCCAUCAGAGUUGUUAACAUUUGGAAACAGGUGCUAAACUGAUUCUGAUGGAUGGACCAUCGGUGAAGUAGCUUGUUGGUGAGGUAACGGCUCACCAAGGCCACGAUGGUUAGCCGACCUGAGAGGGUGAUCGGCCACACUGGGACUGAGACACGGCCCAGACUCCUACGGGAGGCAGCAGUAGGGAAUCUUCGGCAAUGGACGAAAGUCUGACCGAGCAACGCCGCGUGAGUGAAGAAGGUUUUCGGAUCGUAAAACUCUGUUGUUAGAGAAGCGGUAUCUAACCAGAAAGCCACGGCUAACUACGUGCCAGCAGCCGCGGUAAUAC
rnacentral:rRNA from 1 species